GCAUAUCAAUAAGCGGAGGAAAAGAAACCAACCGGGAUUGCCUCAGUAACGGCGAGUGAAGCGGCAAAAGCUCAAAUUUGAAAUCUGGCGCCCGCCCGAAUUGUAAUUUGAAGAAGCGACUUUGGACCUGGCUCUUGUCUAAGUUCCUUGGAACAGGACGUCAUAGAGGGUGAGAAUCCCGUUAGAUGAGAUGCCCAGGGCCGUGUAAAGCGUUUUCGACGAGUCGAGUUGUUUGGGAAUGCAGCUCUAAGUGGGUGGUAAAUUCCAUCUAAAGCUAAAUAUUGGCGAGAGACCGAUAGCGAACAAGUACAGUGAUGGAAAGAUGAAAAGAACUUUGAAAAGAGAGUGAAAAAGUACGUGAAAUUGUUGAAAGGGAAGGGCUUGUGAUCAGACUUUGCAUUUCUAUGGCUUCCUUUCGGGGGGGUCCUCUGGAGUUGUAGGGCCAGCAUGGGUUGGAGGGGUGAGAUAAUGGGGAAGGAAUGUGGCUCUGCCUCGGUAGAGUGUUAUAUCCUUUUCUGAUGUCACCACCUUCGACCGAGGACUGCGGUACUAGGAUGC
rnacentral:rRNA from 1 species